AAGGAUCAUUAUUGAAAACAAGGGUGUCCAAUUUAACUUGGAACCCAAACUUCUCAAUUCUAACUUUGUGCAUCUGUAUUAAUGGCGAGCAACUUCGGUUGUGAGCCUUCACUUACAAAACACUAGUCUAUGAAUGUAAAAUUUUUAUAACAAAUAAAAACUUUCAACAACGGAUCUCUUGGCUCUC
rnacentral:misc_RNA from 1 species